AUUCAGCUGACGAGUCCCAAAUAGGACGAAACGCACGUUCCGCAU
rnacentral:hammerhead_ribozyme from 1 species